AGUGAACGCUGGCGGCAGGCCUAACACAUGCAAGUCGAACGGCCGCACAGUAAGAUCUCGCUCUUACGGGUGGCGAGUGGCGGACGGGUGAGGCAUACAUCGGAAUCUACUUUUUCGUGGGGAAAAUCUUGGGAAACUUACUCUUACUCCGCAAUCUAUCUAACGGCUUAAACAAGGGGUCUUCGGCCCUUUCGCUGUUACAUAUAGCGAUGUCGGAUUAGCUAGUUGGCAGGGUAAAGGUCCACCAAGGCGACGAUUCGUAGCUGGUCUGAGAGGGUGAUCAGCCACACUGGAACUGAGACACGGUCCAGACUCCUACGGGAGGCAGCAGUGGGGAAUAUUGGACAAUGGGCGCAAGCCUGAUCCAGCCAUACCGCGUGAGUGAAGAAGGCCUUCGGGUUGUAAAGCCCUUUUGUUGGGAAAGAAAAGCAGCAGGUUAAUACCCCGCUGUUCUGACGGUACCCAAAGAAUAAGCACCGGCUAACUUCGUG
rnacentral:rRNA from 1 species